CAACAAUGGAUCCAGUACAAGAAAAGCAAUAUUUAGACGUCAUUGUAAGCCAAAAAAACAUUAUUGAAGAAAAGAAAAAGACUAUCAAAGACUUACAAGACAAACACUUCGAUGGAGAAAGAAGGAAACUUAUCGCGAAGACGAACCAAGUUCUAUUAAAACAAAAAGACAUGCGAGAGUACACGAAAACCUCAGCCCUGACAGCUACAUUAGAAAAACUAAAAAGAAGUCAUAUCGUUAUUUUAAUAGGAAAAGGAGGAGUGGGAAAAACUACAACAGCGCGGCAAGUCAUGUGUAUGAAGUCACACAGGACCUCUCAAACACCCUACAUACCCGUUUUUAUAGAAUCUCCAGAGGAAUGGAAAACGGUGAUCAA